UAAGAGAAACUACCAGGAUUUGUCAGGACACACUGAAGGAGUUUGCUGGAAAAGCAGUUUUUCCUGGAACACCGGCCAUGAAGUGAAAGAGAAAAUAAACAGUACCCCAAAAAUACCCCAAAGCCAAAAGAGGAACAGUAUAGUGUCGCAAUAGUGAUGUGUAAGUCUGUUGUUUGCUAAACAGGGAAAUAAACGGAGCAUAUGAAUCUGAUCAGUGUUUCAGUCGGAGCGAAUCCCUCUUCAGACGCUCUUCACUCUCUCCAGUGUGUUUGACAGAUCUGAACACACACACACACACACACACACACACACACACACACACGGACGACCUUAUCCAGCAGUGUCUCUGAUCAGUGUUUGACUUCAUCCUUCAGUCCAGCCAGUUACAGCAACAGACAUGGGAUCAGGGUCGUCUUCAGGACCAGAGAUGCCUCAACCGCAAUUCAAAGCUUUUUGUGACGAACUGCAACGGCGCAUUGAUGAACUGAACAAAAAUUAUCAAACUCUCACUGUUGAAAUACAGAAACCUGAACUUGAUGUAGAUCUGACUGGUGAUGCUGUUAGAAAUGUACAAUUAAGCAUGAAGAAGAUGAUUGAGGAUCUGACAAAAAAUCAAAAUAAUGAAAUACGGAAUAGAGUGGAAUCUGUGAUGACGAGAAUGAAAAAAACUCUCGAACUGCAUAAGAAACUAAACGGCUCAAUCGAUACUCUAUUGCGAAGUCUUAACAAUUACAAAGUCAACGGACAACACAAGUCAAAAGCAGAAGACAUCAGAUCAGAAACUUUGAAAUUGAGUCCUCAGAUGAAAGAAAUAGCAGCUCAAUUUCAGAAGAUUUUGAAUGAAAUUAAACAUGGCUAAAAAUAAAUUAACAAAUUCAUUUAAAAUCAGUUUAGAAAUGACUGGACUGAUCUGUGUGGUUUUAUCAUCAAUAUAAUACAGUCAAAGCGAAUCCCUCUAAUCUGACAUCUUUAAAGAUGUGUGCGUUUAAUGAUGUAUAAAUCAUGCAGAAAGUGUUCAGUCUUUCAAAGCAGUGAAUUCUGAAUUAUAGAAGUUUAUAUUCUGGGAUUUUCUACUGUAGAUCUGAUGAUUUCAGAGAAACUCACAUUACAGCAGAGGUUUCCUCUUAUCAGAAAAUACAGUGACAGAAAAAUGUACUUUCUUUCUUUUUUUACAUUGAUGUUGUAAUAUGUGAUUAAAUUACUCUGGUUGUCAUCUAGAUUUGAAAGAUUUUAUUUUAUUUUUGAUGAGAAACUGUUUGCAUGUUCAAUCAAACUUUUGUUCUUGUUUUUAUGACAUUGGAUAAACUUGUAAAACUUUGUCCUAAAUGAAUCACUUACUCUGGAGUUUAGAUUCUGUUUAUUUCUUGUGAAAUUCUUCAGGUAUUCAUAUUAAUUGCCCUUUUUGUUUUAUAUGCUACUGUACUGUAGAAUAAACUCAAUGAUCAUGCUGAUGUCAAGACAUUUA